rnacentral:lncRNA from 1 species
CUCACUCUGAGGCUCACUUUCUGUUAGAUUUUCUAGGUAUGAGUCCUCCCAAAUUUUCUAACUGUAUUUAAAAAAAUAUUUUUUAUUAGUGCAUUAUAAUUAUAAAGAAUAGUGGGACUUAUUUUGACAUAAUCAUGCCUGCAUGGAAUAUAAGUUCCUCCACCUGCACCUGCUCCCCUUCCUCUCCUUUGCUGGUCUUCCUUCUAUUUAUUUAUUGUUUAUUUAAUUUGCCUUGAUGAUUUAGACCCAACUUAGAGUUGAGUUUUCCAGUUUUGUUUUGCUUUUCAGCAAGAAGGGGCCCAACAGACACACAGAGGAAAACAGGUUUGUGGCAGGGUCAGUCUCAGAGGUAUGAGUUUAGAGGGAGGAUGGAGAAGUUAGAAAUGGUAUUUACCAGGAGAAUGGAGAUGCUUUCGAGGGUGGCAGAAGCCUGGAUGCCAGAGUGAGGCCGACGACAGAUGCCUAGGCACGCAUGGUCAGUUUUCAGCUGGCUGCAGUGGGGUUGGUUCUUGGAGGUGGAUGAAACCUGCUUUGUCUGUUCCAGGCACUGUGUCACUGUGUUCCCCUGAGUGUGGCGGGAAGCUCAGUGCCUCUCUGGAGUUUCCCUGGGCUGCAGAGAUCUGUCUAGUUCAAGGUCAUGCCCUUGUUGGGGACUGUCUGAGCCCCCCUGAUUCAUGACAGUGCAUUUCUGACUCAUUGCAGCCCCAGAGGCUCCUGCUUGCAGAAUAUUAUCUUACUUAACCCUCAGUAAUUUAUCUGCAAUUAGUGGGAUGCAUGGUCACCACAAAAGGUAUAUUUAAGUGGGGUUUUGAUGAUUAGGUAAGAAUUUUUAUUGUUGUAGAAAAAGGAGACAGGUAAAGGCAGAGGGAACAAUGUGAGCAAGGGUGUGGCAUGCAGGUGUCAUGGUGCUCCUUCCAAGGGCAAUAGUGGUAUUCCAUGUGGCUGGAGCUGGGAACUGGCCUGUCAGCACCCAUCAUGUUAUCCCGAGUCUUUGAAUUAAUUGUAGAGCUUCUUGAUCCUAGAAAGGUUCACUUGAGGGUGGAAUAAAUGAUAGUUUUGAGAGGAAAUAGUUCUGUAGUCAUCAGCAGGGCCAUGUGUUCAGUGGCUACUCAGGUCUCACCCUGCAGAUGGACAUGUGACCUAUGACCUGGCAGGGAGAACCUAGGGCUGAGGGUAGAUUAGAUUGUGUGCACCACCUGCCCUGCAGAGAUCCCACAUAAGCCUUGGCCCUUGGACUGGGAUUUCCUAUCUGGGGACCAUCAGGGGUAAUAUCUGCUCCAGGGAUUUGGAAUUGGGACUCUGGGAAGCUCCUAGAAGAAGCUGAUCCCAGAGGACACAGAGGAGAAGAUACAGAGCAGGGAACUCUGGGUGCCAGGGUCUGGUGCUACCUUAGUACAGGGACUCAGGGGCUGGUAGGUGCCAAGAGAGAAACCUCCUAUUCUUCUUCCUCUUUACAUCUUUCUGAACAAAGUUAGGAUUUAUUUUCUGUUUUUAAGGAUGCAAGUCAUUACAUUUAGGGCACUCAGGACAAUCCAGGUUAACCUUCCCAUAUCAAGGUGCUUAAUUGCACCUGCAAAUUCCCUUUUGCCCUGUGAGUUGAAAUUUUCAUAGACUCCAGGGUUAGGAUGAGUACAUCUCUGUGAGCCACUGGGCCUGCCCCACCUAUUUCUUAUCUGAGAUUUCUGCCCUUUACAGAGAGCUGCUGAGACCUCUCAGGGCAUCAUUUCCAGGCCACUUAACCUCAUUUUCAUCCUCCAGAAGAGGCUAGCACUGAGUCUCCAGAAUAGACCUGGAGAUGCAUAUUGGAGUACAUGUGGCAUAUGGGGGCAGGGGAGAGAUUCUAGUGAGAAAAGUAAUAAACUAAAGGACCAUGCAGGACGAGGAACUCUGACCCACAGCCUGCAGCCACCAGCCUAGGAGGCCAGACACCAUCGCUAUAGCCACCAGUUCAAUGAUCAGUCUCUGUAGAUAGCCACCAAUUUCCUUCACUUUUUUUUCAAUUUAAAAUUAGAAGAGAAAGCCACCUUGCCUGUGACUAUUCUUAUAGGAUGCCCACUUAUGGUAGUCUCCUUCAGUUUUCCUGGUUAGUCACCUCCAAUCAGGGCACUUCUGGAGCCCUCCUUCCCAGCCUGAAGCUUUGGCCUUGUGAAUCUCUGCCCAAAGCCCUUGAUGGUGGCUUACUGUCUGGCCACAGUGUACUCAGAAUUGACCUGUUCUUAUUUGUGUAGUUUUUGUUUUUUUCCACACUUGAAAGAAGAGGGGAGGGGAGAUGAAUCAGGGUUGGCAGUCUGAGCAGGGUAGACUAGGAUCAAGUUAUGACUGUGGGCAGCUGGGGUUUAGCAAACCCAGAGCCUUGGAGCUGGCUCACAAAGGUGAGGAAGGAACUGGGCCAAGGGUGGAGGGUAAUAGCUCUGGCCUGACCCACCUGCAGGCAAGAAUUGCAGAGACAGCACUUAUAGAG